UGGAUUACACCAAAAACAACUUUGAUUAACUCAAUUUCCAUUGUUUUGACUUAAUUUCGGCCAUAAUGACUAAUUCUGAAAUUUAUUCGUGUGUGACGCUCGAUAACGAGAACGGCAACAAUGUGGAUAUGGUAUGACAGGCAUGACGAUCCGUAAUAUUUUUGUUACGUUGCAGAAAGAAGAGCUCAUCACAAUGCUUUAGAAAGGAAGAGGCGAGAAACUAUUAAAGAAACUUUUACUACUCUAAAGGAUGCCCUGCCUUCCUUAAGGGGAGAGAAAAUGGCUAGUAGGGCUUUGAUCUUAAGAACUGCUGUGGAACACAUACAGACCAUGCACAGAAGGAAUACAAUACAUCAACAAGAUAUUGAGGACCUUAGGCGUGAAAACUGCCUUUUGGCUAAUCAAAUCCAAUCUCUUGAGAAGACCCACAAUGUGCCAUACUUGGGUGAUCCGGUUCCAUUGGAUAGUACAAGUUCGGAAUCCGAUUCUGAUCCAGACUGCGAAGGCGAUAAUAAUAAAACCAAGAAACUAACAGUUGCGGGUAAAACACUGAUUGUACAUAUCCUGUGAUGUUACUGAACUUAUAAGACGAACGAGUACUCGUUGUAAAAUUAACGUUGAAAUUGCGGCUGU
rnacentral:misc_RNA from 1 species